UACGUAGGCAGCGAGCGUUGUUCGGAGUUACUGGGCGUAAAGGGUGUGUAGGCGGUUGUUUAAGUUUAGUGUGAAAUCUCCCGGCUCAACUGGGAGGGUGCGCCGAAUACUGAAUGACUUGGAGUGCGGGAGAGGAAAGUGGAAUUCCGGGUGUAGCGGUGAAAUGCGUAGAUAUCAGGAGGAACACCGGUGGUGUAGACGGCUUUCUGGUCUGUAACUGACGCUGAGGCGCGAAAGCGUGGGGAGCAAACAGG
rnacentral:rRNA from 1 species